rnacentral:rRNA from 1 species
GACGAACGCUGGCGGCGUGCUUAACACAUGCAAGUCGAACGGAAAGGCCCUGCUUUUGUGGGGUGCUCGAGUGGCGAACGGGUGAGUAACACGUGAGUAACCUGCCCUUGACUUUGGGAUAACUUCAGGAAACUGGGGCUAAUACCGGAUAGGAGCUCCUGCUGCAUGGUGGGGGUUGGAAAGUUUCGGCGGUUGGGGAUGGACUCGCGGCUUAUCAGCUUGUUGGUGGGGUAGUGGCUUACCAAGGCUUUGACGGGUAGCCGGCCUGAGAGGGUGACCGGCCACAUUGGGACUGGGAUACGGCCCAGACUCCUACGGGAGGCAGCAGUGGGGAAUAUUGCACAAUGGGCGGAAGCCGGAUGCAGCAACGCCGCGUGCGGGAUGACGGCCUUCGGGUUGGAAACCGCUUUCGCCUGUGACGAAGCGUGAGUGACGGUAAUGGGUAAAGAAGCACCGGCAAACUACGU